GGGGGUGAACUGGAUUCGACGGGGGUAAAAGUGGCAAGAGAAGCGGGUCCAGGACCAUGGCCUGGUAAAAACAUGGAAAGGCAUUAACUGCCGAUAAUAAUUUAGCUUUCGCUGCUUAAAGAAAAGUAGCGCGCCUGCCUUCUCCUUUCCUGCGGGAAAAGAACAGGCGUCAUUAAAGCAGGAUACCCGUAUUGCAGGCCUCUCCUCCUGCAAUACGGGGAAACUGACAGGGGAUAGCGACGGCGCAUUUCGCCCUGGAAAGGCCCCGCCGUGAAAACUAAAUCCGGGGCUACACCCGUAGAUGCUUUUGUGGCUUUGCUUUCGGACGCGGGUUCAAUUCCCGCCACCUCCACCA
rnacentral:tmRNA from 1 species